GGAACCAAGCUGAAGUGUGGAAAUCCUGCCUGCCUUGCUCUGCCCCGCAGUCCAAUAACUGGAAGCACUGAGCAAAACCACACCAACACAGUACAGGAGUUAGUGGCUGUAAGAGAAAGCCCUGGUAUACCAGCAUUGGGGUGAGGGGAAUCCUGCUCCCUUGCCAAAUAUGGCCUGAAGAUUUUCUGUUUUGCAAACCUGUUGCUGUUGCAUACAGUACUGAGCCUCUGGGAAUGUCAUCAUGAUGAAAUGGU